rnacentral:rRNA from 1 species
UCCUACGGGAGGCAGCAGUGGGGAAUAUUGCACAAUGGGCGCAAGCCUGAUGCAGCAACGCCGCGUGGGGGAUGACGGCCUUCGGGUUGUAAACCUCUUUUGGCAGGAAAGAAGCCGCAAGGUGACGGUACCUGCAGAAGAAGGACCGGCUAACUACGUGCCAGCAGCCGCGGUAAUACGUAGGGUCCGAGCGUUGUCCGGAAUUAUUGGGCGUAAAGGGCUCGUAGGCGGUUUGUUGCGUCGGGAGUGAAAACCGGGUGCUUAACGCCUGGCUUGCUUUCGAUACGGGCAGACUUGAGGCAUGCAGGGGAGAACGGAAUUCCUGGUGUAGCGGUGAAAUGCGCAGAUAUCAGGAGGAACACCGGUGGCGAAGGCGGUUCUCUGGGCAUGUUCUGACGCUGAGGAGCGAAAGUGUGGGGAGCGAACAGGAUUAGAUACCCUGGUAGUCCACACCGUAAACGUUGGGCGCUAGGUGUGGGACCCAUUCCACGGGUUCCGUGCCGUAGCUAACGCAUUAAGCGCCCCGCCUGGGGAGUACGGCCGCAAGGCUAAAACUCAAAUGAAUUGACGGA